rnacentral:rRNA from 2 species
AUGCAGUCGUAACAAGGUCAUAGCGUGUUGAUUGGUGCUUGCAUCAUGAUUUACAUUUGAGUGAGUGGCGAACUGGUGAGUAACACGUGGGAAACCUGCCCAGAAGCGGGGGAUAACACCUGGAAACAGAUGCUAAUACCGCAUAACAACUUGGACCGCAUGGUCCGAGUUUGAAAGAUGGCUUCGGCUAUCACUUUUGGAUGGUCCCGCGGCGUAUUAGCUAGAUGGUGGGGUAACGGCUCACCAUGGCAAUGAUACGUAGCCGACCUGAGAGGGUAAUCGGCCACAUUGGGACUGAGACACGGCCCAAACUCCUACGGGAGGCAGCAGUAGGGAAUCUUCCACAAUGGACGAAAGUCUGAUGGAGCAACGCCGCGUGAGUGAAGAAGGGUUUCGGCUCGUAAAACUCUGUUGUUAAAGAAGAACAUAUCUGAGAGUAACUGUUCAGGUAUUGACGGUAUUUAACCAGAAAGCCACGGCUAACUACGUGCCAGCAGCCGCGGUAAUACGUAGGUGGCAAGCGUUGUCCGGAUUUAUUGGGCGUAAAGCGAGCGCAGGCGGUUUUUUAAGUCUGAUGUGAAAGCCUUCGGCUCAACCGAAGAAGUGCAUCGGAAACUGGGAAACUUGAGUGCAGAAGAGGACAGUGGAACUCCAUGUGUAGCGGUGAAAUGCGUAGAUAUAUGGAAGAACACCAGUGGCGAAGGCGGCUGUCUGGUCUGUAACUGACGCUGAGGCUCGAAAGUAUGGGUAGCAAACAGGAUUAGAUACCCUGGUAGUCCAUACCGUAACGAUGAAUGCUAAGUGUUGGAGGGUUUCCGCCCUUCAGUGCUGCAGCUAACGCAUUAAGCA